GGGUUGUGAGGUUAAGCGACUAAGCGUACACGGUGGAUGCCCUGGCAGUCAGAGGCGAUGAAGGACGUGCUAAUCUGCGAUAAGCGUCGGUAAGGUGAUAUGAACCGUUAUAACCGGCGAUUUCCGAAUGGGGAAACCCAGUGUGUUUCGACACACUAUCAUUAACUGAAUCCAUAGGUUAAUGAGGCGAACCGGGGGAACUGAAACAUCUAAGUACCCCGAGGAAAAGAAAUCAACCGAGAUUCCCCCAGUAGCGGCGAGCGAACGGGGAGGAGCCCAGAGCCUGAAUCAGUGUGUGUGUUAGUGGAAGCGUCUGGAAAGGCGCGCGAUACAGGGUGACAGCCCCGUACACAAAAAUGCACAUGCUGUGAGCUCGAUGAGUAGGGCGGGACACGUGGUAUCCUGUCUGAAUAUGGGGGGACCAUCCUCCAAGGCUAAAUACUCCUGACUGACCGAUAGUGAACCAGUACCGUGAGGGAAAGGCGAAAAGAACCCCGGCGAGGGGAGUGAAAAAGAACCUGAAACCGUGUACGUACAAGCAGUGGGAGCACGCUUAGGCGUGUGACUGCGUACCUUUUGUAUAAUGGGUCAGCGACUUAUAUUCUGUAGCAAGGUUAACCGAAUAGGGGAGCCGAAGGGAAACCGAGUCUUAACUGGGCGUUAAGUUGCAGGGUAUAGACCCGAAACCCGGUGAUCUAGCCAUGGGCAGGUUGAAGGUUGGGUAACACUAACUGGAGGACCGAACCGACUAAUGUUGAAAAAUUAGCGGAUGACUUGUGGCUGGGGGUGAAAGGCCAAUCAAACCGGGAGAUAGCUGGUUCUCCCCGAAAGCUAUUUAGGUAGCGCCUCGUGAAUUCAUCUCCGGGGGUAGAGCACUGUUUCGGCAAGGGGGUCAUCCCGACUUACCAACCCGAUGCAAACUGCGAAUACCGGAGAAUGUUAUCACGGGAGACACACGGCGGGUGCUAACGUCCGUCGUGAAGAGGGAAACAACCCAGACCGCCAGCUAAGGUCCCAAAGUCAUGGUUAAGUGGGAAACGAUGUGGGAAGGCCCAGACAGCCAGGAUGUUGGCUUAGAAGCAGCCAUCAUUUAAAGAAAGCGUAAUAGCUCACUGGUCGAGUCGGCCUGCGCGGAAGAUGUAACGGGGCUAAACCAUGCACCGAAGCUGCGGCAGCGACACUGUGUGUUGUUGGGUAGGGGAGCGUUCUGUAAGCCUGUGAAGGUGUACUGUGAGGUAUGCUGGAGGUAUCAGAAGUGCGAAUGCUGACAUAAGUAACGAUAAAGCGGGUGAAAAGCCCGCUCGCCGGAAGACCAAGGGUUCCUGUCCAACGUUAAUCGGGGCAGGGUGAGUCGACCCCUAAGGCGAGGCCGAAAGGCGUAGUCGAUGGGAAACAGGUUAAUAUUCCUGUACUUGGUGUUACUGCGAAGGGGGGACGGAGAAGGCUAUGUUGGCCGGGCGACGGUUGUCCCGGUUUAAGCGUGUAGGCUGGUUUUCCAGGCAAAUCCGGAAAAUCAAGGCUGAGGCGUGAUGACGAGGCACUACGGUGCUGAAGCAACAAAUGCCCUGCUUCCAGGAAAAGCCUCUAAGCAUCAGGUAACAUCAAAUCGUACCCCAAACCGACACAGGUGGUCAGGUAGAGAAUACCAAGGCGCUUGAGAGAACUCGGGUGAAGGAACUAGGCAAAAUGGUGCCGUAACUUCGGGAGAAGGCACGCUGAUAUGUAGGUGAAGCGACUUGCUCGUGGAGCUGAAAUCAGUCGAAGAUACCAGCUGGCUGCAACUGUUUAUUAAAAACACAGCACUGUGCAAACACGAAAGUGGACGUAUACGGUGUGACGCCUGCCCGGUGCCGGAAGGUUAAUUGAUGGGGUUAGCGCAAGCGAAGCUCUUGAUCGAAGCCCCGGUAAACGGCGGCCGUAACUAUAACGGUCCUAAGGUAGCGAAAUUCCUUGUCGGGUAAGUUCCGACCUGCACGAAUGGCGUAAUGAUGGCCAGGCUGUCUCCACCCGAGACUCAGUGAAAUUGAACUCGCUGUGAAGAUGCAGUGUACCCGCGGCAAGACGGAAAGACCCCGUGAACCUUUACUAUAGCUUGACACUGAACAUUGAGCCUUGAUGUGUAGGAUAGGUGGGAGGCUUAGAAGUGUGGACGCCAGUCUGCAUGGAGCCGACCUUGAAAUACCACCCUUUAAUGUUUGAUGUUCUAACGUUGACCCGUAAUCCGGGUUGCGGACAGUGUCUGGUGGGUAGUUUGACUGGGGCGGUCUCCUCCUAAAGAGUAACGGAGGAGCACGAAGGUUGGCUAAUCCUGGUCGGACAUCAGGAGGUUAGUGCAAUGGCAUAAGCCAGCUUGACUGCGAGCGUGACGGCGCGAGCAGGUGCGAAAGCAGGUCAUAGUGAUCCGGUGGUUCUGAAUGGAAGGGCCAUCGCUCAACGGAUAAAAGGUACUCCGGGGAUAACAGGCUGAUACCGCCCAAGAGUUCAUAUCGACGGCGGUGUUUGGCACCUCGAUGUCGGCUCAUCACAUCCUGGGGCUGAAGUAGGUCCCAAGGGUAUGGCUGUUCGCCAUUUAAAGUGGUACGCGAGCUGGGUUUAGAACGUCGUGAGACAGUUCGGUCCCUAUCUGCCGUGGGCGCUGGAGAACUGAGGGGGGCUGCUCCUAGUACGAGAGGACCGGAGUGGACGCAUCACUGGUGUUCGGGUUGUCAUGCCAAUGGCACUGCCCGGUAGCUAAAUGCGGAAGAGAUAAGUGCUGAAAGCAUCUAAGCACGAAACUUGCCCCGAGAUGAGUUCUCCCUGACCCUUUAAGGGUCCUGAAGGAACGUUGAAGACGACGACGUUGAUAGGCCGGGUGUGUAAGCGCAGCGAUGCGUUGAGCUAACCGGUACUAAUGAACCGUGAGGCUUAACCUUACAACGCCGAAGGUGUUU
rnacentral:rRNA from 1 species